UGGCUCAGGACGAACGCUGGCGGCAUGCCUAAUACAUGCAAGUCGAACGGACGAGGAGGAGCUUGCUCCUCCAAGUUAGUGGCGGACGGGCGAGUAACGCGUGGGCAACCUGCCUCUCAGUGGGGAACAACAGUUGGAAACGACUGCUAAUACCGCAUAACGCAGCGGGGUCGCAUGGCUCUGUUGCCAAAGGAUUUAUUCGCUGAGAGAUGGGCCCGCGUCCGAUUAGAUAGUUGGUGGGGUAACAGCCUACCAAGUCGACGAUCGGUAGCCGAACUGAGAGGUUGAUCGGCCGCAUUGGAACUGAGAUACGGUCCAGACUCCUACGGGAGGCAGCAGUAAGGGAUAUUGCACAAUGGGCGAAAGCCUGAUGCAGCAAUGCCGCGUGAGGGAAGACGGUCUUCGGAUUGUAAACCUAAGUAGUCAGGGACGAUAAUGACGGUACCUGAAGAGUAAGCUCCGGCUAACUACGUGCCAGCAGCCGCGGUAAUACGUAGGGAGCGAGCGUUGUCCGGAAUUACUGGGUGUAAAGGGUGCGUAGGCGGGCCUGCAAGUCAGAUGUGAAAUACCGGGGCUUAACUCCGGGGCUGCAUUUGAAACUGUGGGUCUUGAGUGAAGUAGAGGCAAGCGGAAUUCCCAGUGUAGCGGUGAAAUGCGUAGAUAUUGGGAGGAACACCAGUGGCGAAGGCGGCUUGCUGGGCUUUAACUGACGCUGAGGCACGAAAGUAUGGGGAGCAAACAGGAUUAGAUACCCUGGUAGUCCAUACCGUAAACGAUGAUUACUAGGUGUGGGGGGACUGACCCCCUCUGUGCCGCAGUUAACACAAUAAGUAAUCCACCUGGGGAGUACGACCGCAAGGUUGAAACUCAAAGGAAUUGACGGGGGCCCGCACAAGCAGUGGAGUAUGUGGUUUAAUUCGACGCAACGCGAAGAACCUUACCAGGUCUUGACAUCCAACUAACGAGGUAGAGAUACGUCAGGUGCCCUUCGGGGAAAGUUGAGACAGGUGGUGCAUGGUUGUCGUCAGCUCGCGUCGUGAGAUGUUGGGUUAAGUCCCGCAACGAGCGCAACCCUUGUUUUUAGUUGCUACGCAAGAGCACUCUAAAGAGACUGCCGUUGACAAAACGGAGGAAGGUGGGGACGACGUCAAAUCAUCAUGCCCUUUAUGACCUGGGCUACACACGUACUACAAUGGCUGUUAACAGAGGGAAGCAAAACCGCGAGGUGGAGCAAAACCCUAAAAGCGGUCUCAGUUCAGAUUGCAGGCUGCAACUCGCCUGCAUGAAGUUGGAAUUGCUAGUAAUCGCGGAUCAGCAUGCCGCGGUGAAUACGUUCCCGGGCCUUGCACUCACCGCCCGU
rnacentral:rRNA from 1 species